CCCUUAGAUGUUCUGGGCUGCACGCGCGCUACACUGAUGCACUCAACGAGUUUACGACCUUGCCCGAUAGGGUUGGGUAAUCUUUUUAAAAUGUAUCGUGAUGGGGAUAGAUUAUUGCAAUUAUUAAUCUUCAACGAGGAAUUCCUAGUAAGCGCGAGUCAUCAGCUCGUGCUGAUUACGUCCCUGCCCUUUGUACACACCGCCCGUCGCUCCUACCGAUUGAGUGCUCAGGUGAAUAAUUCGGACUGCAGCAAUGUUUGGAUCCCGAACGUUGCAGCGGAAAGUUUAGUGAACCUUAUCACUUAGAGGAAGGAGAAGUCGUAACA
rnacentral:rRNA from 1 species